UUGCUAUCUCCAAUGUUGACCUGGAAACUGCAGAAUCAUAUGUGCGCAUUGUGUAAAAAGCUGAGAUUGUGAUUGAUAUGCAGGUUAGAUAAUAAGGUAUAAGACUCUUAUACGCUGAUGUAUAAGGUUGCAAUGAAUGUCCUUUUGGGGUCUUUCAUAGCAGAAAGUUAUAAUUUUCUGAUACAUUGUUAUAUAAGGCUCUAGACACUGCAUAAUCUUUUGAUUUUAGUUUGAAUACCUUGUAAUUUGUUUUUAUCGUUGCAUGUUAUCGUUUGACUCUAUUUCGAACACCUCAAAGAUUGCUUUGGCUAGUACUUAUGAUUUCAAAGCCUUAUUUAGUUUUAUAAAAAAUAUUGAUUUGUGUUGGCUUGUGAUAUUUAGGCAAGGAUUGAAACUUAGUAGUACAAACAAACGUGAUGCAGUGACACGACAUGAUAGGUAGUUCUAAUACUAUGCAUGCAGAUCGAGGUUGUUCGUAAAGUUAUGCAGAAGCAACCAUGACAGCCGGUAGCAGUCCUCGCAUCUAGAAGGUAUCACAUCUUCUUAGAAUUCUUGAAUAUUACACUAAUGAAAAGAUAUUUAUGUUUCCAUUAUUAUAUAGACAAGGUGUAUAAUGAACUAGCUCUUGCAAAAAUUAGACCUUACCAUGGAUCCCUUUAUACCGAUUUGGAAUUACAAAUUUAGUUCUGAUCACAAGGGCCAUUCUGUUGAAAAGCAAUCAUAGCUUGCCAUCUUGUCUGAAAAGCAAUCAUAGCAUGCCAUUCUAUAUAAACGCUCUAGGGCUGAAGUAGCAAGCACCGACACUCUGGGAGCUAGCAAGAUAUUUUCUCCUCUCACAUGCCGAAGACUAAUUAUUUUCUGAGUCGAGCAUGUGUUUGAAAGUAGGAACCUACAAGUUUCUUAUUUUCACCUGAGCAACUAGUGCUUUUUUUGUUUUCCUGGUAGAUUAAAAUUGUGCCUACUUUCAAACACAUGCUUAAGUCCUUUUAUUCUGAAUCAACCAGCAGCUCUGUUUCUUAAACAAUUCUGCAGCUACCACUGAAACUUUGCACACAAUCUGGACAAACAUCAUGGAUUAAUAAGAGGGACCACACAACUAUAUGUUCAGCAAACCGACAUUAUUUUAUUUUGAGCAUCCAAUAUUCAUUCCAGCAAAUGAUUUAUGUGCCUGCAAACUCUUCUUUUUGUUGAAUCAACAUUUUUAUCAAAAACCAUGCAGCAGAUUUAAUCAGAGGGCUGUUCGUUGGUAUACAUUCUCAUAAUUAUUGAUUCUCACUGUCUAGCACUAGUACACACUACACCCAGAACAAACAUGUACAAAAAAAAAACAGAACUGAGGACACCCUGCAUUGCCACUGGAUUGAUAGUAAUUAAUCCUUACCUGCAGUUUUUGAAUGUUCUAUUAACUUCGCAGCAAUCAAAAUAAAUUAAUAUACCAAAAGAAGGUGACUAUUGGUAAAUAUUUAUAUUGACAGGUUAAAUUGGUCUUUCUUAUGAGUGCAUACACAUUCUGUUUGUGCCUUGUUGACUGCGAAAGUACAGGGUAACACACAUGUGUCUUUUUCAUUUGGAUGAGUUGAUUUUCUUUUUCAGCCAUGCAACUUCUAUGUUUGGAACAUGUGUUCUUCCGAGCUGAUCUAUUUUGCCAUUUCCUUUUUUUACAGGUCACCAAUAUAAUGCCUUUGCAUCCACAAGUUUCUAGAGGUGUGUUUGGUCAGCUAAAAAGGAUCUUCUGCUGGAAUAUGUUUCUACCUAAAACGGAAUCUUAUAUUUUGCACUUUUGUCUUUUAUGUAAUGCUUUGACUUAUGAACCUACAAAUUUAUGCAUGUGUACAUGUAGACCUGAUGGAUGUCCUGUUACUGGACUUGUAUGCUUAUGUGUGCACGUAAGCACGCAAGAUGGAUCUUUGUGCUUUUGGCUGUCUUAGACUUGUGUAUACACACACACACACAUUAUCUAUUAAGUGAUGCAAUCUUAAUUACUGGAUGCAUGUGUGUUGUUAUAUAUAGAUGACACAAAAUAGAGUGAAGAUAAAUGCUAGCUGUUGAAAUACAUGUAUACAAUAUAUAGGAGAUCUGUUUGUUGGCAGUGGAUACAAAUAGAGGCAGUUUACCUGCUGGGGAACUCUUG
rnacentral:lncRNA from 1 species